CCUGCGUCUACCUGGGGGUACGGACCAGCGACCUUCAGGCCAGGGUCGCGGCCAUCGAAGGCGCUCGAGGGGGCUUCUCCGCCGCCGCCCCGGUCCCGCCGCUGCCCGGCUUUUCCUUGGAGCAGCUGAACGCGAUGAUGCAGGAGAAAGUGGAGCGACUUCUCGCCCAGAAAUCCUACGAGCACUUGGCAAAAAUACGAGUAGCGAGAGAAGCGGCUCCAGAGUGCAGCUGUCCACCAGGUCCUCCAGGGAAAAGAGGUAAGCGGGGAAGAAGAGGAGAGACUGGUAAGUUUUUAAUUUCCUAAGAUCUAUUGUCAUGUGAUGUUUUUGUGAGGAUGUGUACCCAGCAUGCCUUGAUUUUUAGU
rnacentral:lncRNA from 1 species